rnacentral:lncRNA from 1 species
AGUAGAGAAGAACUUCCAAAAUGUUUUAAUUACUGUAUUUUCAUAUUAUAUAAGUCAAUGGAUACCGAUUGAGUAGAAUUUACUCCUAGGUAAAUGAUUUCUCCCCCCAAAAUUGAACCCAAUGCUGCAAAUCACUCUUGUUCCUUGGGAGUAACACUGAAUCUGCUAAGACUUUACUCUGAGUAGACCUUCUACUCUUUAUCUGCAGAGGAAACACUGGCUUCCUGUAGCAACCAGAUCAAGAGUGUAGAAUUAGGAUCUAGGCUUUGUUAGUAGAGGUGUCCCUUUUCUGAGCUCAGGAAGUCGUGAUGCAAGGGAAGGGUUGGGUUUGAGGUUUGGAAACCUUUUGUAAAGGCAGCCACUUGCCUGCCCCUGUUUCAUUUCCACAUCAGCAGUGACGGUUGGCGGAGUGUGGAGGUGCCCAAGCCAAAUUGGAAAUGCUUGUCAAACCUAUUGGGAGGAUCUUUGUGGCUCUUGGUGUAAUCCUCUUUCUAGGAUGCCCAGGACAAGGAGCUCCUCAAAAAGGCCGGCACAUGUCGCUCCGAUGUAAACCUAAUGCCAAUUCUGACAACUGCAUUGAAGAAAAGGGGUCAAGUUUUGUCAUGACAGAUGAGAAUAAGAAGAUCCUCUCUGAGGCAAACCCCACACGAGAGAUACUUCAAGACCAACCAAGUACUUUGCCAUUUUCUGGAGAUGAAGAAGGAUCUGGCAACGAAGUUGAUCCCGAGACAGGAUCGGGCGCUGAGUUUGAUAUGGAAGAGCCCGAAGUGUCUGACUUUGAGAACCAACCAAAUGUGAAUCUGAAACUUAAGCUAUCAGAUGAAGGCUUAUUUCCCCAUGAAAACGUACUGUGAUUUCUGUUAUGGCUUUAUGUGAUAUUUCUUUUUACAUAUCAUAGGUUUUGAUGAAAUGUAUACCCUAGACCGGGCGUAUAUGUUAUAAAAAUAUUAUAGCUAACCAUGUAUAUCUUAAAAUGUUUAGUGCUUUUCUUUGAUAAAAUCUAUUAUUUGUAAGUUGAAAAACAGAACCAAACAAAGCAAGUUAAACUAAUUUCAGCCACUUGAUAAGCAUUUUCUUAUGUCUGCAAUUAUUUAGCUAUUUCUAUUAAAAUCUAAUGCAACUUAUGG